AGGUAGUAUAACUUCUGAUUGUGAUCACUUGUAUUUAGAUCUUCUGAAUGUACUGGAUUCAUUUCAGUACAGUCUGCAUAAAGUUGCUUGUAAACUGGUUUGACCUUAAAGGCCAAAAACACCAGCAUUGACUUAAGGAUCUUCAUCCUGAAUAUAAUACUACAAUGGAUCAUAAGGAAGUAGGGAUGAAGGGUGUUGAAUGAAUUCGUGGGCACUGGCAGGCUCAUGUGAACAUAGUAAUGAACCUUCGGAAUUCAUAAAAGUGUGGAAUGUAAUGACUAGCUGAACGUCUGAAUAGAUUUGCACGAAAGACUCUGCUCCAUGGAGUUGAUUAGUUAAAACAAACAAUAUGUGUCAUAGGUGAUAUAAUUCACUGCAUGAAAUUAUACAAUUUUACUGCAACACAUUUAUGAACCUAAAGGCAGAAAAAUAAAAAAAACUUUGAACACUUGAGUUUCCAAACAUUUCCACGUAAAGCGCUACCCUCACAUUUAUAAUGGCGUCUUAUUUUGAAAAGCUAGGUUAUUGCUGUGGUGUUACGAAGAUACGUCUGCGGUUACAGUGUAAAGAAGAUGUUGUACGGUGUUUGAAAGGGAAUGGCUGGCAGAAAUGUCGUUUUGCAGAUGAUGUAAAUUGUUUGAUCAAACUUGUUGCAUUUGUAAAGGAAAAAGCCGUGGAAUAUCAUCAGUCAAUGGUGGAUUCAGCUCGAGCGACUUUCGUUCGCAUUCGACUCAAAUCUACCAGGCAUGAUGUCCGAAAAAUAAAUAUACCACACACAAAACAGUGCACGAAAUUCAGCGGAGACGUUUGAAAUUUAAGGGUUAUAAAUAACAUUUAACUGCCCAAGACAAAGAAGUUCGCUCCACGGACGAACUUUUUACAACCAAAAUUGUUUUGAGGGAUGAAAUCAUAUUGCAUUUAUCGGGAAAUGUUAAGCGACAAAACCUGAGAAUCUGGGGGAGCAACACUCCACCCUAAAUUAUUUGUCCAAACAAAAUGUAUUAGGGUUUUUUCUUUGCUGAAAGUACUGUGCAAGUAUAGUGUAUCUAUACAUGUUGGAGGAAUUACUCAUGCAUGUUUUGGAAGAAGGUUCCAAAAGAACAUACAGUUCCAACAAGAUGGAGCACGUCCACCUGUCCACAAAGAAGUGACAAACUUCUUAAAUCACAAGUUUCCAGGUAAAUGGAUGGCAGAGAUUAGUUUGGUGAAGACAGUAUUUUUGCUGUUGGUUAUUUUAUGGUUUUAUGGCAUGCUUCCUAUUUCAAUUGCAAUACCUCUAAAUGAUUUAGUAGAACGGAGGAGCCUAGAACACCUGGAGAGCCCCAAGGAAAGAACUUGCAAGAUUCUCUGUGAGCUUAUGGCUGCUGCAACCAGUGAACCAAUACAGAUCACAGGCCAGAAGUCAUAAAAUGUUGAGACCUCCUGCUUUAUGAAUUGAAGUUUGGGAACAUGCGACUUGUAUGAAUUUUGUAGAAUAAAAGUGUUUGCUGCACGUA